CAGCCGUAAACUAUGCGCGUUAGGUGUAUCGGUGACCACGAGUUACCGAGGUGCCGAAGGGAAACCGUGAAACGUGCCGCCUGGGAAGUACGGUCGCAAGGCUGAAACUUAAAGGAAUUGGCGGGGGAGCACCACAACAGGUGGAGCCUGCGGUUUAAUUGGACUCAACGCCGGGAAGCUCACCAGGGAAGACUGUUACAUGAAGGCCGAGAUGAAGACUCUGCUAGAUUUUCAGAGAGGAGGUGCAUGGCGUCAGUGACU
rnacentral:rRNA from 1 species